UAGGGAAUAUUGGGCAAUGGGCGAGAGCCUGACCCAGCCAUGCCGCGUGAAGGAUGAAGGCCUUCUGGGUUGUAAACUUCUUUUAUACAGGAAGAAAAAGGUCAUGCGUGACCAAUUGACGGUACUGUAUGAAUAAGCACCGGCUAACUCCGUGCCAGCAGCCGCGGUAAUACGGAGGGUGCAAGCGUUGUCCGGAUUUAUUGGGUUUAAAGGGUGCGCAGGCGGUGCGUUAAGUCAGUGGUGAAAUCCC
rnacentral:rRNA from 1 species